CUCGGCGGCUGAAGGGGGAGGCAGCGCAGCGGAGCCUGCAGAGAGCGAGAGCUUCGCCCGCACCCGCCGCCACCGAACCACCGCCACCCCGGCACCGCCGCCAUGGUGCUCCGCACCGUCGUCACGCACGCGAAGAAGCACCCGGCCUUGAUUCCUCUGUUUGUGAUCAUUGGAUGUGGAGGUGUUGGUGCAAGCCUGUAUCUUAUGCGUUUGGCGAUGUUCAACCCUGAUGUUAGUUGUUCUCGAUUAAUAUGGACUACAGUAGACUGAAAAAGGAUCGUCCUGACUUCUAAAAACACAACAAUGUCUGUAAGCUGGACAGAAAGGUCUUCCGGAAGCUGUUCGCACAAGUGUCAUGUUUAAUCAUCCAGGAAAUAAUUAAAUUUGCUUCACACAGCACCAGGUCAUGUGUUUGAAACUGUUUUGACGAGGCUUAAUAAACGUUUAAAACUUGAAGUGUCUGCUCUUUCAUUUUGCAAAAUGACAACAUCCUCCUAUUAACAGUUUCUGCUGUAUGGUUUGUCAGUAAGCAAAAGCCAUUUCAUGUUUCCUUGACAAGAAAGCAAAGUUGUUGUGGUUGGCCUUAUGCUCAGUGUGUUGAUCUCAGAAUAAUAACUGCAUGCUCAUGCAGUUAUACCAAACUUCAAAAACUUGAAAGCAUGUAUUUAUAUAUAUGCAUAAAUAUUUUUUAAUAUACCUGAAUUUAUCUACUUGCCACUUUAAGAAGUUUUGAUUGCAGAAAAGUUAAUGCCAGCAAGUCAUUAUCCAUCAGGGAGGGAGCAGAUGUUGCCAUAUGUUGCUGGAAGGAAGGAAAAAAACAGACUGUGCUCUCCAAAAGUUUUUGUUCCUUUCUUUUUUCUCUUCUAGUUAAGCAGGGUUUUUUUUUAAUUAAACAGAAAGACAACUUUCAAUAUUUAAAAAAUCAAAUUCUACAAACAUUGUCAAGAUUUCCUGUGGAUCACAGAUUUAAGGAAGGGAAGCACAUAGCUGAUGAGGGUACAGGUUUUGGGAAAUAAUUAGCUAUUCAUGUAAGAACAAAAACACGUUUUAGAAAGGGCAAAAUCUUGCACUUUAGUAUCUGGCUGAGUAUUGCUAUUGACUUAGUCUUGCUAUGGGAGGACAAAGAAAGUAUCUUUGCAAGUCUGUAACUUAUGGUAGGUUCUUUGUGCUUUACUGUGAACAUCUGGCACUUUGGAUAAGGGGUAUUAAUUCUGGGCUGUCUGACAGAGUACAGCUGUUCUUAUCUUGAUAAUCUCUGCUUAAAGUUGACUCCAAGAAUGUAGAUAGCCAUACCAACUAUUACAAGUAAUAAAGGCAAUUCAAGCAGCAAGAACUUAGAGAAGAAAAUUAUUCUGUGGUAAUUGGAAAAUAACGGAUAUUUGCAAAGACGUAUUUUAUAUGGAACAGCCUUGUAGGUAAAAUUGUCAUUUAUUUGGUAACAGUUCAGAUUAUCCUUUUAUUAUGUACUGAACCGGUGGAUUCACUCAGUUUUCAUUUGCUUGAAAGGCUCUCAUGAAGUCUGAAUAAGAAAAUGAGUAUUAUGACAUGAGACAUUAUUACAGUGGUGAGCAAAGCCCAUAGGUGUCCUUGUGGAAUGGUUCCUCUGGAUCCAAAUAGAACUGUUGCAACACUUUUGUUCAGUUUUAAAAGUAUGUUGUGUAAAAAUGGGAAUUGUGUUUUAUAGCUUGGUAGUUGGCAAUUCAUUUGAAUUUUAUCUCUUCAAAUACAGAUUCUCUGGACAUUAAAAAAGACCAAUAUCCAGGAAGUAAACCCAAUUCCUAGGGUGGAUAAGGUUAUUCCUUUUGUGCACAGCUGACAAAAGCAUAGGCUCAUGUCUUCCUUAAUAAAGGCACUUCAAUGUAUAUUUCAAAUAUAUUUAACAAGUGCUUAAGCUAAGUAAAUCUUUAAAUAUAAAUAGACUAGAAAACAAAAGGCAAUUAAUUCAGUGUUACUUGUCUUUGCCCAUUACAGCAUACUUGCUCCUAAAAGUACAUAAAACUUAAGAUUUUCUAAGUUUAAUUAUUCUAGAAGUUGUUGUCCUGAGGGGACACUUUCUCCUUUUUCUUGUAGGGAUAUACUUUAUCCUGUGUUAAAUGUAGUGGGCAAUAGUCACCAUUAUUUGCCAAUUUUAAGAGUAAUUUAUAAGAACCUUCCUGCCUUCCUGCCUUCCUGCCUUCCUGCCUUCCUGCCUUCCUGCCUUCCUGCCUGCCUGCCUCCCUCCCUUCCCUCCCUCUCUCCCUCCAUUUUUCUAGGGUAUUUUGAAAGACAGCCAGCAUGGCAAUAAUUUGUCUGUAUUAAAAUAUUCAAGGACUUCUUUAAAACAAUCACCUACGUCUUUCUUCAUUAAUCCAAAGAUAGAAUUCCCUGAAGACAGCGUGAGGAAGUGACUGCAGUUUGGAUUCUUAGAAUUACAUCUUACAUUUACUUUUGGCUAUUAACUCUUAUGAAACAAUGAAAUCCCAUCAUUAGUAGGAAAAGUGAAAUCCUUCAUUAAUGCCAUGUCUUGUAAUUUUGUUUGAGCAGAUGAUGUGUUAUCUGAAAGAGGCUGAUAUUCUGCUGUCUUAGAUUUCAUCUGGACACAGGCACUUGAUUUUGCGGCACAUUUUUUUUGAAUGGUCAGUGUGCACCUGGUCUUAAUGUCCUUUUCAUGAGCCACAUACAGAAGAGUCCUCUUAUUUUUGCAUUGAAGCAUUGUGCAUGCUACAGCAUUGCGCUUGCAUCAGAUUUCUGUUAACAGAGUUAUUCUGUGCCUCCUUAUCAGUGAUCCUGAUUAUGCAGCAGAGUGAUUAAAUCUGAAAUUAAUUCUGCCCAUCUAGGAUAGAAAGACUUACAGGUUUCUGUAGCUCUGGCACAUGAACACAUAUUCUAUACAGCAUGUUCAACAUUUUUUUAUUUGCCUACAGUAAGGAAAGCUCCUUGUUGGUAUAAAAUAUCUAGCUGCCUCUAAGAAAUUAGAAGGGUUUGCCUGAUAUUAAAAGAAUAAUUUAAAUUUUUUGUGGGAUUUAUAGGCAAAUGUCAUCUAAGGAAUACAUUUCAGAUCUGUUUUCAACCUCUGCCUUACAUUUAUAGUUAGUUUGGUGCAUGACUAUUGAAUGACCUUUAAAAUAAAGAAAUGUAUGUUAAAUGCUGAUUCACUAGUAAUACUUGGUCAGGAAGAAAGAUUGAGAGGUUAUGACAGGAAUUUUAUAAAUGUAUCUUGAAUGAUCUAAUUUAAAAAAAUUAGAGAUGUGCAGGUGCAGACUGAGUUACUGACUGCCCAGCCUUACUAUGGAUGCAACUGGAUGAGCUGUAGAACCACUUCUUCAGUACAAAGUGGAGCACAACAGGUCUGUUACAACUACAGAAAAGAGGUGUUCAUUAGCAUCAUUGCCACAGAAGGUUUUUUUAAUAUUACUUAAUAGAAGACUUACUCUUCAGUCCUCUCUUUUGAAAUCCAGAAGUUGGUCGACUUGAUGCUCUUGUGACCCAUUCACUUUUCCUUAGAAGUGGUCUUGACAUCAGUAUUUAGCCAUGAGAAAUUUCUGUGAAGCUCAAAUGAUUUCAUAUGCUCCUCUGAUCUUUAAGCUCCUUAAGACAGUCUCUGGACACUGCUAUGAUGUCAUAUUUCUCAAAUAUGUGCUGAUUCUGGUGCUGUGAAGUUUGGAAGAAAUAUUUUGGGCUUUGGGAUUUUUUUUCAAGAAUUUCCAAGUGCUAUUAUCUGGUUGGUCAGGCUUAACACUUUAUAAGUAAGGAUGACAUGAGCCAGUACAAUGCAAGAAGAUACAAAUCUCCUCCAUUCUUAAGAAGCAAAUCCAUUUUUAGCAUCCAGAAUAAUGUUUAUCUGAACUAGAAAAAUAAUUUGCAUUUUUUUUUGUUUGUUUUUCUCCUUUUUGGAAGUUUCAUUUAAAUGAAAAAAUAAUGUUUAGACUUUCUAAGCUAACUUUCUAAGCCAAUUCUCACAGUUACAAGGUGAAGAGGCUAGGAGAUCAACACACUUUAAUUUUCUUUUCUGUUUUCAGUCAGAAUCAGUGAUGCUUUAGGUAAUGUGAAAUGUGACCAUAAGUAUGCUAGUAAAGGCAAAAAAAAUGUAUUCAAACUUUUGAUAGUUUACUAUCAGCAUUUACCUGACAUUCAUUUGCUAAUAGAAUUGCAAGACUGGUAAGUGGAGCUCCUGCAAGAGACAGCAAAUUCUGAAGAUGAUCAGAAAAUAGAUUAUUAACACAUGGCAAUGCAUACAUUAAAAAGAAGAAAAGAAAUUCUGCUGGUUAUAUUCAUGUGUACUGUCAAUGCUUCAUAACAGUCACCUAAAAUAAUAUUUCUAGGAUCAUUAAUUUGAAUUACUUUGGACAAAAUAAUGCACUACACCAUUUACAGUUCAUCACUAUAAUGUAAAGACAACUUUACAAGAGAACUGCACAAGCCAUAAUCCAAUAGACAAAUUUAUAGACUUGUUUUUUUCACAUUAGAAGCAAACUAACUAUGAACAUGAAAUGUUUUCUAAUUUUAGUUUCUCUACUGCAGGCAAAUGAAACAAACUGCUGAGAAGGUAAUGAAAACAGAUUACUUAAUGGUGAAAAAUUUGAGUGCCAUUCUUUUUCUACCAGUGGUGCCACUGCUGGAAUUUAAUGGAGUGGCACCAGUGUGUCUGAAUGAAGAUUUUGAUCCCAGCUGUUUAAAAAUAGGGUUGAAUCUAAUAAGAUUUCCUCAGUACUGAUAGCUUUUUUUCCUCCUACACUGGGAGCAGGAAGAUAGAACUCAUUAUUAACACCAAGAAAGUGGAAUUUCAUCCCAGUUUCAAACUUCCUGCUCUAGUUCCAUGAUGAUUUGUUUCAGAUGUUCUUAUCUUCAUGUUAAGUCAAACAAAUUUAACUUCCUAGCUUUUUUGGAACCUUAAGGGAGAAAAUUUCAGCCCAGCAAUAAAGAUAAUGUGCUUUAAAUGACUAAGGAUCAUUGAAGCUUUUUUUUUAAACUUUUCAUGUGAAAGUCAUCUCUCUCCUACCCCUUUAUAAAAGCCCAGGUAAGUUCAGGAGGUAUUCCAGGAGGAAAAAAAAAAAGAGCAACAGACAUGCUAUGAAAUAGACAGAUGGAGCUGCAUCAGGUUUUACAUCAAUUACAGUAAGUUCUUGGAUUUAGUGCAAGAGCUUUCUUAGUUUAUGUCCUUCAAUUUCUGCAUACUUUUGGCAAUGCAGAAGUUGUUUAUUACACCAACCAUGACUGCUUGGCCUAUUAGGACGCAGUGAGAAUUAGGCUGAGUGUAAAGACAAAAGCAUGGUAUUCCAAUGGGUUUAAAUUACUGUGCAAAGAAGGUCUGGUGCACUGUCUUCUGAAUUUAGACUACUAAAGACAAGUUUGUAUUAGUGCCCUAGUGUGGAAUAAAAAUAAAAAACAAUUUUAUGGGUGAUUUUGAAAAUACCAUUCUUUCUUUCUGCAUUGCCUCAUAGAAACACAGUUUCUAAAAUGUUCCACAAUGUAAAGUAAACAUGUGAGCUGUGUCUGAACUGUAUGGAUUUUACUUUAUGCUUUCUCGUAAUUACUUAAUUCUCAGUAACCAUUUAUAUUAGUUUAAGCAUGUAGUAUUUUGUUUCAACCUAUGUUAUUGUUUCUUAACAAAAUUUGUCUUAUGCUUUUGA
ensembl:lncRNA